CAAAGAAAUUUACCAAAAAAUUACAAAUUAUAAGCACGGAAAUGUGGAUGUGCGUUAUAAACACGUGCGGUCAAUCCCUGAUAACCAGCUAAAAAAAGCUACUUCCCAAAGAAUGGUUUAAUCCUUGUGAUUCUCAUUUGGUCGUUUUACAACAUGGCGUUUGGCUCUGCGCAUUUUGUUAUCAGGGUCAUGUUCAAAGUAGACGCUAAUCUUUUAAAGUCUUAUUUUCAUGUCAGACGCAUAAGAGCAAGUUCAUUGCUUUAAACUGCAAAAAUAAAUCUGUAUCUAAACACUGACGAUUUUGUUUGAAUAAAAACUGAAUAAAAAUGUCAUUUUAAAUACCCGUUUUACGCCGCAGCUCUUCUGCAAUGGCACACAAACGCUGAAACAUUUCCUAGUUAGUAAACCAAACUAAUAACAUGAUGUGACGGUUGGGGACGGAGGCUGAGAAAAGUAAUCAAGUAUUGAUGUUCAAAGUCUCGUUUGCAGCCUAUUCACUGUCUGUCUCAGGAGUGACAUUGUGGACGUCUGUUGAAAAAGACAAAUGUUCGGGUUUUAACAUCCCGCUGUUCUGUUAUGUCUCCAAUGAGCAUUUUAUGAAUCCACUGGCAGCUCCAAAAUUCACCAUAUUUAAGGAUAAUCUACUUUUACGCACAUCUAUUUUGUGGCGUCUGCCUAAAAAAUGGUCUCAAGUGUGAUUUUUCAGCAAAUAUAGGAUUCUAAGAAUUUAAAAAUUUAGUUUGCAAUUUUCGUGAAGUACAGAUUUCACAAUAUUUUUCAUUUUCCCUCCACAAACGAGUCCUGGCACGAAUGUUUUUCGUGCGUAAAUCUAAUUAUCACAAAAGAACUCAAAUAAUUGAUCAUGGACAAUUUUAUUGGAUAGCAGAAUGUUAUAAAACACAGAUUUUCGCUUUGUUUUCUUUAUUUUUAAUUUUAUUGGUGCACUACUUAUAUAUUAAGGUAAAUCUAAAUUUGAAAUCCUAUUAACAUAAUGUAUUAGAAUAUUAUAAAACUGUAAUUUUCAAAGAACAAAAAAACGAAAUAAAGAAAAAUAAAAGUUUAAAACAUUUGUAUUUUAAUUUGUAAAAUAUUUCACAUCAAACAGUCUCUGGCGCUCAGUUGUGUGGCCACCAUGUAGCCGGUUUUAGAGACGCUGCAACCUGACUCUAAUGCGCUGUGAAUGAAAGACCUGAGCUGAGAUUAAGACCGCCGUGGCUGGUCUGGCCCCACAGCCCGAUGUGUAUAUUGGGAUGGGAGCUCCUAUUGCCACAUAUGAAACACAACCUUGAAAUAUUCCACAGGCUUAUUCGGCCCAGUUCUAACCAACGUGUGGGUCUGAAACCCGAGGAAAAAACACACAGCAUGAGAUUUAAAACGGCCCUGCUUGCAUGCCAUCUUAUUUGGAUAAAUUGCAAAGGCACAAACAACCCGUGUGUCUCUGUGACCACAUGCUCCGCCUCUUAGUCAAUCCAGGCAAAUUCUACGAGUUGUACUGAGGCUUUUAAGCUGUAAUUGAGGACAGGAUGCUCAGGAAAACCAAAGCCAGCUCUGCACUGAACUGCGUUUUUAUAGCUGCCAUAGUAGUCUAGUGCGCUGUUUACCCGACCAGACAGACACCACAAAAGCGGCCAAGCGUGAAGUCGUCACCAACGCGAAUUCAAAGUCAACAACUGACCUACAAAUACACAGAAAAGCGGUUUCAACGGUGAAAGAAAAGUGAUCUGACGGCGAUGGCAGCGAUUGGAGUCCGAACGGACCACACAAGGGCCUCGGAGGGGCCAACCGAUCAACUCCACGGUCAACAGCAACACAUCUGGCCAAAAGAAAAGACGACGACGCUGGUUUGGCGAUCGGAGAAGACAUGUGGACAUAAUAGUUCUGUGACAAUUACACAAUAAAAUAAGAACAAUCUGCUAUUUAACUGAACUGAAAAGGUUUCCGAUUUUGGAAUGAAAGCACAUGGCUGAACAAAGAACUUCCAUUAAAUUUGCGAAUGCCCCAAAAUUCUUAAACAUUAAAAUAUUUCCGUACAACGUUUCUUUUUGAUGUUUUCCGAUAUAAAUAUUCUAAAAUUGUAUGCUGCAAAUUGCGUAGAAUGGCUUCUGUCCCUCAGAAUUCAAAGCUGCUCUGCUUUGGACCUUGUCGACACACCUGUUAUUCACUUUAUGGAGAAUCAGAAGAUAUUCAAAAGAAGAAAGAUUAAUGUAACCUAAACUUAAGCGUAUAUAAAGAACAAAAAAUGCAGAUGACAGUUUAACAAUGCUGUCGGUGACGGUUCUGAUUUAAUAAUUAUACUAAUCGUGAUGUAGCCUUAGGAAAAACGAAAUCUUAGGCUACAUCACAUUUAAAUGAUUAAAAUGAUUACAAAAUAGAAUGAUGAAAUGAAUGCGUCGUAGAUAUUUUUGUGAAAGCAGAGGUUUUGUUUGCUCUGAUCACGCCUUUUCGUGCGUUAUUUUUUGUUGCCUAUUCGGGUUUGACUGGACCUACUUUUAUUUUAAGGAAACACCCUUUUCAGUACAUUUGUGGUUCCCCAGUCAUUUACUUUGUUUGUGUCGAAGUUUAAAGACAAUGUAGGUAAAACAAUAUGAAAAUAAAAACAAAACCGUCCCCGUUCUUCUC